AUGAAGGCUCCUCUGGAAGACAAGCUUCAAGGCCUGUGGGGGGCAUCACCUGGGACACUGCAGAUGCGCUGCUGCUCACAGAAGGGUCUUGCUCUGUCACCCAGGCUGGAGUGCAGUGGUACCAUCAUAACUCACUGCAGCCUAAAACUCCUGGGCUCAAGCGGUCCUCCCACCUCAGCCUCCCAGUAGCUGGGACUACAGCCUCCCUGCACCAUCAUGCCCAGGUAAUUUUUAAAUUCAGAACUUCUUUUGAUAUGUUAUUUGUUAUAUUUAUUGUUAUCUAAAACAUUAAGGUUUAUUAGUAGUACAUGAAUUAAUACUGAGACCUUUCCUUGGUCCAUAUGCGAGAGGGCCAUGUGCUAUUUACUCUGAUGGCAGAGUGAAGAGAGUUCUAUGGUGUAGAACCAUUAACAGUGACACUCUUCAUCUCACAUACUUUAGAGUGCCUAGUUCAGCUAAGAUGUGCCCAGUGGAUUUAUGGCUUUAUUAUCUAAUUUAAGCUAAACUAGUCCUCAAAAAAUGAGCACAUGAUUUUUAAAAGAUUCCUGCAAAGAGACAUUAGAUUGAAGAUAAUAUGAAUAAUUCAAGCACAAGGAAAUGGCAGAGCUGAAGCUUCUUCUGCUAGCUGAAGCUUUUUCUCAACCACAUUGUUAAAAGCAGUGGCCACAUAGAUCUAACAAGAAAUUGACCAAAACAGUCUAAAUUAUCCAUAAGUCUAUUUAAAAUAUUGUUUUACUUCCUUAAAGAUAAACAUGACCCAAAUUUUUUAUUGUGCUUUGAGAUGUCAGCUAUUAGUUAUUGGUACUACAAAGUCACCAGAAUUAGUAAUAUGUUUAAACGGUGAGACUAAAAAUACAUAUUGCUACUCGCGGCAAAAUGAAUGAAUCUCAGAAACUUCACAUUGAGUAAAAGAGGUCAGACACAAAAAAGGAUUUGCCAUUGAUGAAAUUUAUAUAUAAGUUCAAAAUGAGUAAAACAUAGCUGUAGCAGCAGAGGUCAGGCUAGUGGUUAUCCUUGGUGAUGGGGGAGGAGAAUGAGUCACUGGAGAGGUCAUGAGGGGGGCUUAUAGGUACUGGCUAUGUUCCAUAUCCUGGUCCUAAUUUAAACUACAUGCUCACAUGCUGUGUCCACUUUAUGAAAAUUCAUCUAGCUGCACACUCACAAUGUAUCAUCUUUUCUACAUAUAUACUGUUGUUGAAUAAAAGUUUAUUUGAAAUACA
rnacentral:lncRNA from 13 species